rnacentral:rRNA from 1 species
UACGUAGGGGGCAAGCGUUGUCCGGAUUUAUUGGGCGUAAAGAGCGUGUAGGCGGCCAUGUACGUCCGUUGUGAAAACUCGAGGCUCAACCUCGAGACGCCGAUGGAAACCAUGUGGCUAGAGUCCGGAAGAGGAGAGUGGAAUUCCUGGUGUAGCGGUGAAAUGCGCAGAUAUCAGGAAGAACACCCGUGGCUAAGGCGGCUCUCUAGUACGGUACUGACGCUGAGACGCGAAAGCGUGGGGAGCGAACAGG